rnacentral:rRNA from 1 species
GUGGAAUUGCCAUUGAUACUGCUAGUCUUGAGUAUGGUUGAGGUGGGCGGAAUGUGUCAUGUAGCGGUGAAAUGCUUAGAUAUGACACAGAACACCAAUUGCGAAGGCAGCUCGCUAAGCCAUAACUGACGCUGAGGCACGAAAGCGUGGGGAGCAAACAGGAUUAGAUACCCUGGUAGUCCACGCCCUAAACGAUGAUAACUCGUUGUUGGCGAUACACAGUCAGCGACUAAGCGAAAGCAUUAAGUUAUCCACCUGGGGAGUACGACCGCAAGGUUGAAACUCAAAGGAAUUGACGGGGGCCCGCACAAGCGGAGGAGCAUGUGGUUUAAUUCGAUGAUACGCGAGGAACCUUACCUGGGCUUGAAAGUUAGUGACCGUCCCUGAAAGGGGACCUUCAGCAAUGACACGAAACUAGGUGCUGCAUGGCUGUCGUCAGCUCGUGCCGUGAGGUGUUGGGUUAAGUCCCGUAACGAGCGCAACCCCUAUCAUUAGUUGCCAUCAGGUAAAGCUGGGGACUCUAAUGAGACUGCCCGCGCAAGCGGUGAGGAAGGUGGGGAUGACGUCAAGUCAUCACGGCCCUUACGUCCAGGGCUACACACGUGCUACAAUGGCAGAUACAGUAGGUUGCUACAUGGUAACAUGAUGCUAAUCCCCAAAGUCUGUCUCAGUUCGGAUUGAGGUCUGCAACUCGACCUCAUGAAG